rnacentral:ribozyme from 1 species
UGCACAGCAACUCCUAUCCCUACCUCCUCACGGUACUGACCGUGGUAUGAGCCGGAUCGGGUAACCAACCCCGGUGGAAACUUAGGUUGUAUGCUGACAGAGUAGG